rnacentral:rRNA from 1 species
GAUGAACGCUGGCGGCGUGCCUAAUACAUGCAAGUCGAGCGAACAGACGAGGAGCUUGCUCCUCUGACGUUAGCGGCGGACGGGUGAGUAACACGUGGAUAACCUACCUAUAAGACUGGGAUAACUUCGGGAAACCGGAGCUAAUACCGGAUAAUAUAUUGAACCGCAUGGUUCAAUAGUGAAUGACGGUUUUGCUGUCACUUUUAGAUGGAUCCGCGCCGCAUUAGCUAGUUGGUAAGGUAACGGCUUACCAAGGCAACGAUGCGUAGCCGACCUGAGAGGGUGAUCGGCCACACUGGAACUGAGACACGGUCCAGACUCCUACGGGAGGCAGCAGUAGGGAAUCUUCGGCAAUGGGCGAAAGCCUGACGGAGCAACGCCGCGUGAGUGAUGAAGGUCUUCGGAUCGUAAAACUCUGUUAUUAGGGAAGAACAAAUGUGUAAGUAACUAUGCACGUCUUGACGGUACCUAAUCAGAAAGCCACGGCUAACUACGUG